GCAUCGAUGAAGAACGCAGCAAACUGCGAAAAGUAAUGUGACUUGCAUAAAUCGCGAACCAUUGAAUUCUUGAACGCAUAUUGCACCCUGUGCUUGCACUGGGUCUGUCUGGCUGAGCGUCACCAAGUUAUCCUCAGCCCAUGCGGCUGGUCAUGGGUGUUCGACUGGCUUCGGGCAGUUGGCCACCUGAAACACAUUGAAUGACUGCCAGGCGCAGCACUGCAGGUGACUCUGCAGCAGCCAGUGCCACGGCAGCCAACCUCCUAACUCCAACCUCAGCUCAGGCGAGAGUACCCGCUGAACUUAAGCAUAUCAAUAAGCGGAGGA
rnacentral:rRNA from 1 species